rnacentral:rRNA from 1 species
CGACCUGAGCUCAGGCAAGGCUACCCGCUGAACUUAAGCAUAUCAAUAAGCGGAGGAAAAGAAACUAACAAGGAUGCGCUUAGUAACGGCGAGCGAACCGCGCAAAGCCCAACUUGAAAUCUCCCUUGGA